GAGGACCCUCUGCAAACACAGCGGCCCCAGCGCCCAGAGGGCUCCCUCUGUGGCCACUUCAAACAGAUGCCUCCUGAAUGCCCAACAUGAUGUGUCUAUUAUUAUCUUCGGGGAAACAGCUGACUGCUCGGUUCACAAAAACCAUUAACUUUGCUCUUGAUAAGCGUCUGGCUCUGGUCCUGACCUUCGCAGAUUUCUCAGCUGGGUUCGCUUCCUGCCCUG
rnacentral:lncRNA from 1 species